AUUGACAUCAAUUUUUUUCCACCUCUAGUCGAUUUUCGUCAGUUUCGCCAGUUGGCCCUUGGGGUUUCUAGCGUGCGCACGUGUUUUAGUUUUUCUCCUCCGUUUUCCUUCAAAUUCAAAAAUAUAAAAAAACAAAGUGAAAUAAAUUGUUGCUAAUAAAAUAGCAAUAAAAAUGUCUGUUCAUUUAAGCACAAAUGCAGCCAGCUACAGUGAAGCCUGGACAAUGGAUGUUGGCAAUGCACGCGCUCAGAACAACGGGGGAAAACGGAAAAAGCGAGCACAAAUAACACUAGCACAACUUUAGUGAACACCGCCGCAGCACACACCAAACACAGAAACCCAAAUCUGCCACUCAAAACACUUUCCAAUACAAAGAACAAACAUCAAGCAAGGAAAGCAAAAAACACUAAAAGCGUCAAACAAAAAAAAAAAAAA
rnacentral:sRNA from 13 species